rnacentral:rRNA from 1 species
UGGGGAAUAUUGGACAAUGGGCGCAAGCCUGAUCCAGCCAUGCCGCGUGAGUGAUGAAGGCCCUAGGGUUGUAAAGCUCUUUCACCGAUGAAGAUAAUGACGUUAACCGGAGAAGAAGCCCCGGCUAACUUCGUGCCAGCAGCCGCGGUAAUACGAAGGGGGCUAGCGUUGUUCGGAUUUACUGGGCGUAAAGCGCACGUAGGCGGACUUUUAAGUCAGGGGUGAAAUCCCGGGGCUCAACCCCGGAACUGCCUUUGAUACUGGAAGUCUUGAGUAUGGUAGAGGUGAGUGGAAUUCCGAGUGUAGAGGUGAAAUUCGUAGAUAUUCGGAGGAACACCAGUGGCGAAGGCGGCUCACUGGACCAUUACUGACGCUGAGGUGCGAAAGCGUGGGGAGCAAACAGG